UACGUAGGGGGCAAGCGUUGUCCGGAUUUAUUGGGCGUAAAGAGCGUGUAGGCGGCUAGGUAGGUGGGUUGUGAAAACUGGAGGCUCAACCUUCAGACGUCGACCCAAACCCCCUGGCUAGAGUCCGGAAGAGGAGAGUGGAAUUCCUGGUGUAGCGGUGAAGUGCGCAGAUAUCAGGAAGAACACCCGUGGCGAAGGCGGCUCUCUGGGACGGUACUGACGCUGAGACGCGAAAGCGUGGGGAGCGAACAGG
rnacentral:rRNA from 1 species